rnacentral:rRNA from 1 species
UUUGCCGGCGUGGCGGAAUUGGCAGACGCGCUGGACUCAAAAUCCAGUGUCCGCAAGGACGUGCCGGUUCGACCCCGGCCGCCGGUAUAGUUGAAAAGACAAGGUUUCUAAGCCUUGUCUUUUUGUUAUGUCAUAAGAAAUUUCUUGGAAUUGUUACUAAUAAUUACUAAUUUCAUAGGCUCUUUGUCAACUGUAGUGGGUUGAAGAAAAGCUAAGCUCGAGAAAGGACAAAUUUUGUCCUUUCUUUUUUGAUAUUCAGAGCGAUAAAAAUCCGUUUUUUGAAGUUUUCAAAGUUUCGAAAACCAAAGGCAUUGCGUUUGAUAAGUUUGAUGAGAUUAUUGGUCGCUUCCAAUUUGGCGUUUGAAUAGGGUAGUUGAAGGGCGUUGACGAUUUUCUCUUUGUUCUUUAGAAAGGUUUUAAAGACAGUCUGAAAAAUAGGAUGAACCUGCUUCAGAUUGUCCUCAAUGAGUCCGAAAAAUUUCUCAGGGUCUUUGUUCUGAAAGUGAAAAAGUAAGAGUUGAUAGAUCUGAUAGUGGUGUUUCAAGUCUUCUGAAUAGCUUAAAAUCUUGUCAAGAAUUUCUUUAUUUGUUAAGUGCAUGCGAAAAGUAGGGCGAUAAAAACGUUUAUCGCUGAGUUUACGACUAUCCUGUUGGAUGAGUUUCCAGUAACGCUUGAUAGUCUUGUAUUCAUGAGAUUUUCGUUCAAACUGAUUCAUAAUUUGAACACGAAAACGACUCAUGGCACGGCUGAGAUGUUGGAUAAUAUGGAAACGAUCUAGAACGAUUUUAGCACACGGAAAAAGCUGUUUAGCCAAGUCAUAGUAAGGACUAAACAUAUCCAUCGUAAUGAUUUUCACUUGACAACGAACGGCUCUAUCGUAGCGAAGAAAGUGAUUUCGGAUGACAGCUUGUGUUCUGCCUUCAAGAACAGUGAUAAUAUUAAGAUUAUCAAAAUCUUGCGCAAUGAAACUCAUCUUUCCCUUAGUGAAGGCAUACUCAUCCCAAGACAUAAUCUUUGGAAGCCGAGAAAAAUCAUGCUCAAAGUGAAAGUCAUUGAGCUUGCGAAUGACAGUUGAAGUUGAAAUGGCCAGCUGAUGGGCAAUAUCAGUCAUAGAAAUUUUUUCAAUUAACUUUUGAGCAAUUUUUUGGUUGAUGAUACGAGGGAUUUGGUGAUUUUUCUUUACCAGGGGAGUCUCAGCAACCAUCAUUUUUGAACAGUGAUAGCACUUGAAACGGCGUUUUCUAAGGAGAAUUCUAGAAGGCAUACCAGUUGUUUCGAGGUAAGGGAUCUUAGACGGUUUUUGAAAGUCAUAUUUCUUCAUUAGACUUCCACAAUCAGGGCAAGAUGGAGCCUCAUAAUCCAGCUUAGCGAUAAUUUCUUUGUGGGUAUCCAUAUUGAUGAUAUCUAGAAUCUUGAUGUUUGGGUCUUUAAUAUCGAGCAGUUUUGUGAUAAAAUGUAAUUGUUCCAUAUGAUUCUUUCUAAUGAGUUGUUUUGUCGCUUUUCAUUAUAGGUCAUAUGGGACUUUUUUUCUACACAAAAAUAAGCUCCAUAAUAUCCAUAGGGGAUUUACCCACUACAAAUANNNNNNNNNNNGGCGAGUUACGUUAUGAUGCGAGGUUAAGUUGAAGAGACGGAGCCGUAGGGAAACCGAGUCUGAAUAGGGCGCCUUAGUAUCAUGACGUAGACCCGAAACCAUGUGACCUACCCAUGAGCAGGUUGAAGGUGCGGUAAGACGCACUGGAGGACCGAACCAGGGCACGUUGAAAAGUGCUUGGAUGACUUGUGGGUAGCGGAGAAAUUCCAAACGAACUUGGAGAUAGCUGGUUCUCUCCGAAAUAGCUUUAGGGCUAGCGUCGACAUUAGAGAUUCUUGGAGGUAGAGCACUGUUUGGGUGAGGGGUCCAUCCCGGAUUACCAAUCUCAGAUAAACUCCGAAUGCCAAUGAAUUAUGGUCGGCAGUCAGACUGCGAGUGCUAAGAUCCGUAGUCGAAAGGGAAACAGCCCAGACCACCAGCUAAGGUCCCAAAAUAAUUGUUAAGUGGAAAAGGAUGUGGGGUUGCACAGACAACUAGGAUGUUAGCUUAGAAGCAGCUAUUCAUUCAAAGAGUGCGUAAUAGCUCACUAGUCGAGUGACCCUGCGCCGAAAAUAUACCGGGGCUAAAACAAUUUACCGAAGCUGUGGAUACCUUUAUAGGUAUGGUAGGAGAGCGUUCUAUGUGUGAUGAAGGUAUACCGUGAGGAGUGCUGGAACGCAUAGAAGUGAGAAUGCCGGUAUGAGUAGCGAAAGACAGGUGAGAAUCCUGUCCACCGUAAGACUAAGGUUUCCAGGGGAAGGCUCGUCCGCCCUGGGUUAGUCGGGACCUAAGGAGAGACCGAAAGGUGUAUCCGAUGGACAACAGGUUGAUAUUCCUGUACUAGAGUAUGUAGUGAUGGAGGGACGCAGUAGGCUAACUAAAGCAGACGAUUGGAAGAGUCUGUCUAAGCAGUGAGGUGUGAAUUGA